CUUGGGUUCAUCUUGGAGGACAUAUAAAAGUUGGUUGAAAAAACAGUAUUUUAAGGAAAACAUGUCACUAGAUUACAAUAUGAAGAAUUGUCCUCGUACUGUUCCACUUGAUCGUUGGAAGAUUCUUGUUCAAUUUUAGAGCCCUGAUAUGAUUAAGGAACAAAGCAAGAAGAAUAAAGCUAGUAGAGCAAAGAAUACAAGUCAACAUACAACAAGAUAAAAAAUAUUUGCUGAAAUACGUGAAGAAGAGCUAAAAUUAAUGUGUUUACAUUGUCUUAUUUGCAUUGGUUCUUUUUUAGUUAAUUGUGUUUUUUGUUGAUAGGCAAUGAAAAAUCCUGAUAGAAGAGAACCAUCUCGGGUGAACAUGUUCUUUUUAACACACAAGCCAAGAGAUGGAAAAUCAAUGAGUGAGGGAACAAGCAAAAUUUUUUUAGAGCUUGAGGAUGCCAUAACUUCACAUCCUGAAAAAUUAGAAAGUACAAACCAAGAUGAUAUACUUUCCCAAGUGUUGGGAAAAGAUCAACCCGGUUGUGUCCGAACUUAUGGUAGAGGUGUUAUAGCUUCAGAUUCGUG